GGAGCGGUGUCCGAGUGGUUGAAGGAGCACGCCUGGAAAGCGUGUAUAGGGGCAACCUUAUCGAGGGUUCGAAUCCCUCUCGCUCCGCCA
rnacentral:tRNA from 1 species